UUAACAAUUAAACACAAUGUGAUGUCGAUCUGGCUACAAUGAAGAUGAGCUUAAACAUGUUAAAGCUAGUACUACUUUCAAUUAUCAUUGAGACUUUUAUUGUGGCUGUAGCAGCACAAAUAAAUCUUGCGCCACAUGGAGUAGCGGUACAAAAAACAACUUAUCCAAAACGUUACGCAAUCCUUGCAAUAGAAGGUCCUGCGAAUAAUAAAUGGACUGAUGGAUGUUCUGUUACAGCUAAUGGACAAAACUACGCAUGGUGGGGCCUUCAACUUCCAGCACUUGCUCAUAUGACAAACAUUUUGAUAUACUACCGG